UACGUAGGGUGCAAGCGUUGUCCGGAAUUAUUGGGCGUAAAGGGCGCGUAGGCGGCCCGGUAAGUCAAAGGUGAAAUCCCUCGGCUCAACUGAGGAACUGCCUUUGAAACUGUCGGGCUUGAGGCCGGGAGGGGGUAGCGGAAUUCCCAGUGUAGCGGUGAAAUGCGUAGAUAUUGGGAGGAACACCAGUGGCGAAGGCGGCUACCUGGACCGGUUCUGACGCUGAGGCGCGAAAGCGUGGGUAGCAAACAGG
rnacentral:rRNA from 1 species